GAGUUGUAAUGGCGGGACAAGGAUUUCAAGGUGCACUGAGGGUCAUGCUCCUUGUGUGUCUCCUUGGACUAACAAAAGAGUUUGGUAAGAAGUGCUGUUUUCACAAUACAAGUUUAAAAGUGGGUGUCAUUUAGUGUAGUUUUUGUAUUCCAUAUUUUUAAAGAAUGUGAAAAAUAAAAAUAUUAACUUAUUUCCGUAGAACUUGAGGACAAAGACUGGGACGAGUUGAGGUCUGAUGUGGCUGCGCUGCACAGAUUGAAAGGAUUACCUGAUCAAAUGACACGUAGGACCACAGGAGCAGACACCAGGUGGGUUUAAUUCAGCCUUGAUAUCUCUGUCAAACCUCUCUUAGCCAUUGUUGAAUGAGAUGUUUAAUAUUGUUUCUCUCUGUUUAGAGAGAUAACAAUGCACGGGACCAGGACAAAGAGAUUCAGCAAUUACAGGGCAUAUGUGGAGAAAAGGCCCAUGGCUUUAUUUGAUGGUCUUAGGGGAUGUGACAAUUUUACAACAUGUGUCAUUCAAAUGGACCAGGAUCUUGAAAGGUUUCUGGAAGAAAUUGAUGGACAAAAGAUCCAAGAUUUGCUGCUGUCUGCUUCUGAAAUGUCUUACACCUACAGCAACAAACUUCUCCUUAUAAUGGACAAGGAAGAGUGGACUCGUCAGCGAGUAGAAGAGGAGUACAGCAUAGAUCCUCAUUAUUCAGUAAUGGUCAGUGAUGCUUGUGUAUACAAUGAUUCAUGUCUCCCAACCAUUAACAGUGGCACAGUGGUGAAGAUAUUUGGUACUGCCUCAGAGGAUGGACAUACUCUGUCCGGUUACUCUGGUUCUUCACUAGCAAAUCUAAUGUUGAAACGAUCAUUGAGGGCAGCAUCCGUUUUCUCCCUUGACAUCAAUACCACUUCUUCAUUUCAUAAUGACUUCAUGAGGGUUUUUAAGUAUCAUGACAAUAAUGCUGUCUUGGAAACUACCAGCCCGGGAGAUCUUCUCAUCUUUCAAAUCAUGGAUCACACUGACACUGCAGCUGAGUACCAUGCUCCAAAGAGACCCAUUGAUCACACCACACAGUAUGAUAAACAGCACAUCCUAAUACUGGAAGAUAACCCCGUUGUUCGGGAAGCUGCUAAAUUUCUAUAUGAGAAACAUCCCACUGUGACCUCUGUGUACAUCCUGGAAAACCAACAGCCUAAACUGAUCAAAGGCGACCCGGUGCCACUGUCAGAAGAGAGCAGACUGGUCCUUGUAGGCCAUGGGAGCAGAGACAGCGAAGGAGAGAUGAGGUUUGGAGGGUACAAAGCCGAAGACGUGGCUGACAUCAUUGGACGUACUGCCAGGACUAGUGACCAUAUUAAAACCACAAGUGUGGUGGCCUGUGAAGUUGGGUCUGAUGAAGCCUUCAAGAACACCCUGUUAAAAGAGCUCCACACCAGGUCUAUUGAGACAGAGCUACACCUAAGGAGUUCUUUGCUCCAAGUCAGCCACUCUGGGGAGAAGAUAACUGUAGAAAUAACCCCCACUGGAUUGGAAACAAGACAUAAGGAUGACAGCAAGAAAGUGGUGGCAAUGUUAGACAGAGAUGGAAAUGUCGUCACUAGAGAACAGUUCAGCAACAGGGGGGAAGGGAUUUUUUCAAAUGAGAGAAACUUUCUAGGGGAAACUUCUGUUCAAGAACGUUUUAAAAAAUACAGAGACACAUGGCCAGACAAUCCAAAGAGAUUUGUUGAAUCUUAUGCACGUAGAAAAUAUACUGAUGAACUUGAAGCCUUAACCUGGGCAAUUUUUCAACCAAUGAAAAGUGAUGAAAAUUCAAAAAAGUUACAGACAAAUUUGGACAAUGAAGAGUUUCUGAUAUGCAAUAUUGAGAGGCAAAUGAUAAACGGAAGAAAUACAAUAAAGGAGAAAACAUGGAUUGAAGAUAACAAUGUCAUUAAAGGUAUUCUUGAUAACUGCUAUGAAAUGAAGUCAGGUGAGGAUAUUCUAAGUGUGAUCCAUCACAAUGCAAAGCUUGGAGAAGAUAAGACCACCUACCUGAUGUUACAUGACUGGAUUUAUGAGAUAAACCCCCAAACUUUAUAUGUGUUUCCAGUGGGGAAAAAGCUCGACAACAAUGAAAAGGGAAAUCAAAACAGAAUAGAUGAGAUAAAACGUUGUGUUGAGGAACAGAUUGGCAAAGAACAUUAUCCAGCCAUCCGUAAAAAUAUAGGCAAAGAUGGCAAAGAAAGUUAUCCUAAUUUUGUGAAAGAAACUCUUCAAGGGGAAUACAUUAAUAAAGGCUCACAAGGUAUGAUGAAGGAGGCAUGGUACAGAACAUAUUUCUUGGCAUCAAUAAUAUCAGAGUCCUCCAGAAACUUCCGUACAUUUCCUCUUGUCCUGAUGGCCUUAGAUAUGGCCCACAGCACAGACAAUAAUGUGAAAGAGAAAGGUUUGAGUUUCCUCAUGGAGAAUCAUCCAAUGACAGCAGGUGGUACUUGGGUGGAUCCAAGUAGGCGAGGAUUUUUUGGUUCGUCCUCAGACAGAGAUUCUAGCAAAUUAGAAAACAAAUCAGAAAAAACACGUAAGACCCCAAAGGAAUUAAUAAAGAAUCUUUUGGACCUUACAGAAAAAGAGAAUAAUGUGUUUGAAGAAUGGUGUAAAUUGAAAAAAAUGGAUAACAACAAGGUAGCAGAUGAGAUCUACAAACUUGCAAAUGAGUAUGCGCUAGUGAAUGAGAUUUCAAAAAGUUCAUUCAUAGAGGAUUAUAAUUAUUUCUUAAAGGAAAUUGGCAAACAAUCAACCCAAAAUGAGGUCACUGGACUUUUGGGUGGGUCCCAUGAUGGCUCCGUGACAUUGAAAGAUCUACAUUCCGCUUCAGAAGUAGAGCAUUCACUCAAGCUCUCUUCAUAUUACGCCAGGUCCUCUGCUAUGUUUGCUGAACAGAUUCACAAUCAGUUGAGGAGAGAAUUUGGUGACAGGCUGGACUCGGAGGAACUACAUGUCAAAGAAGGCAGUAUUAGGCUGGAGGAUGGACAAUUUCGAUGCCAGCUCACAUCGAAGAAGAAUCUCCGGGAAACAAUUGAAUUUAAGGUGGAGUUGCAUCCAGAGGGACAACUAUACACAGAGAAAAUGUGGAAAAACAUGGAGACAGUUCAUGGCCUGGAGAUUCCAGAUGGGACCCAUUCUCACCAGGUCUUGAAGCACCUAGAGCACACAGGGAUGGCAAUUGGAGCAGUGGGACUCAUGUUGGGGAUGCAAGGAGCUGUUCAUGCUUUUGAAGAGGGGGACAUUGAACAUGGUACAAUAGCCACGUUACAGACUGUACAUGGAGUCACAGGAAUGACCUUGGCUGCAGUUGGAAAACAAGUUCCUCAGGUUUUAGAGCGCAAGGCAAUGAGAGCCAUGGUAACAUUAAUCAAAAGCCCUGUGGUGAAACGUGCCCUGGUGGUUAUGCCAAUCAUAGGGAUUGGUUUUGGAAUUUACAAUAUUGUGGAAGACUUUAAGAGGAAAGAUGCACUGGGGUAUAUUGAUGCCACCUUCGAUGCUGCAAUAGUUGCCUUGGAUUUUCUUGAAAUCGUUCAACCAGAACUGGCGCCAUUUAUUGUGCCAAUCAACCUGGCACUAAAUACCAUACGAAUGAUCUUUGAUGAUGUAUAUCUUGAUAUUCAGACUGAACUCAUUCAUUUACCACCAAAUGCUGGAGUUUUGGCAAAAAUAAGAGCAUUCUUUGUUGGCUUUGGGAAAGGACUUUUACACGUUAUCCUUGAUGUGGCAAGCUUUUUUUAUACCAUUCCUUAUCGUGAGAUUGAGGAGGGACGAAGGCUUGUUCAACAAAUUUCAGACCACCAAAAGUACUAUUAUUUUGCAGAGGUACAGGAUGGGAGAAAGGCCAUUGAUUUCACAGCUGGUGAGGAUUCUUGGAAUGGAGGGAGUAUCACUUUUUGUCUCUCAGACCAGGGACCAUCUGACUUCUGCAUGGAUUAUUUUGUAUCCAGUGACGAAAACUUGGGGAAAAGGUGUUGGACUAUUGACACACAAAGAACUAAAGAUAUUGUUCUAGGCAUUGGAGAAUCACAUAGAUUAACUUACAAAAACAUAGAUAUAAAAAUACUCCUAUUCAUAAAAGUUGGCUCUAGGUCUGUCGUUUCUGGUUAUGAGGCUUUGUCAGACACAAGAUUUGGAACAUAUUGGGGAAACAAUGAAGCAAAUAAUUUUUUUGCCGUUCAGAAGGCAGAUGACGACCAUGGCAUUGAAGUCAUGUUGAGCUAUUACUACAAGCUUUAUGGAAAAAAUGGUGAUGACGUGUUCUAUUUGGGACCUCAAAAAAGCUAUGUGGAGGGGUGUGGCGGCAAAGACACUUUCAUCAUUCCUGUCUAUGGAGGAAACACAAUUAUUAAUAACUAUGAUCCUUUCAAAUCAACAGAUGUCCUACUCCUCGGCGUUAACUACAGUCAGAUUUCUGUCAGUAAGUCAGGAAAUGAUAUGGUUUUAAGAUAUCUUGGUAACCAUAACAUUAGGAUUAUGAACUGGUUUUUGGGGGACGAAUAUCGGCACAUGAACAUGAUGUCAGAGGACGGAGUCCUGUUCGACAUCUCCACCACAGUGAUUUCCUCUGUCCAACUGAUUGCCAGAGGUAUCAAUAGAAUGUCUAAAACUCACGGCCAGACAGUGAACGCUUCCGAACCACUUCUCCUUAGCGUUACUAAUAUCAUGGGGUCUCCUUACAAUGACAUACUAAUAGGAAAUAGACAGAAGAAUCUGAUUGAUGGUGGAGGGGGUCAGGACCACCUGAGGGGAGGAGAAGGAGAGGACAUAUAUAUGGUUUAUGAGAAAAAACUGUCAAAGAUAUUAAUUGAAAAUCACUCCUAUGACAAUGAAACAGACCUACUGGUGAUAGAGGCAAACCUUCAUGAAUUCAAAGUUAAAGUGGAUGGAAACCAUCUCAAAAUGAUGCCUUUUGCUGAUCAAAGUUCUGAUGUGACCUUAAUGAACUGGUUCCGUUCAGAUGCGGACAGGCACUUGCUUGUUAUCACAAAGGAUCUGGUCACCUUCAGCAUCUCUGAGAACAAGGCAGCCUGUGAGCAGAUUGACUCAUUUAAGAGCAAAUGCCUCAUAAGUCAGAAUCUAGAUUACAGAAAGUCCACAGCUGCUCUACAUGUGGAUCUGCAGGAGGAUGAGGCUUUCCAAAGUGUAACAGAGGUGCGAGGCUCAGCCUUCAAUGACAUCAUCAAAGGGAACGUACAACGCAACACAAUUGUGCCAGGGCGAGGAACAGACUUUCUUCAGGGGCGAGGAGGGGAGGACUGGUAUGUUGUAACUCCAGGUCAAGGCUUGAAAACCAUUGAGAACCACUCACCCGAUCUGGCUACUGAUGUACUUUUCCUGAGAGAAAAAUAUGAUUUAAUCAAUUGUAAAUGUAAUGGACCAGACAUUUAUCUCUCCAUAAAUGGCUCACAGGAAGUCCUAUUGAAGGGCUGGUUUCACUCAAGGAACUCUCAACACCUCCACAUCCAAUCAGCUGAUGGAAUAACAUUUCAACUGGAGUCCAAUGCCAGCAGUUGCGAUGGCUCCUUAAAGCUGCCUCAGUCUGUGGAUUUCCGAAAUAGGGUGACUGGAGAAAUCAUGAAGAUGAAUAACAGCGACUUUGCCUCAGUGGUGGAAAUGUAUGGCUCAUCUGGUUUCGACAGCAUGGAAGGAAAUGACAAAAAUAACAUGCUGGAUCCUUUUACUGGAGGUGGUAGCAUGGUGGGAGGAGAUGGGGAGGAUACCUACGUAGUGAACACUGGAUAUGGAACCAACAUCAUGAUUGAAAACUUUGCAGAGGAUGAAAGAAUGGAUACUGUGUUGUUUGAGAUGGAUUUCCUUGGUGGUGGUCAACUCACUGUUCAGUCUGACAAGCAUGAUGUACUUGUGAGCACAGGUACACAGGGGCAUAAAAUUCAGGUCCGAGUGCUCAACUAUAAUUCAGGGCAACAACACCAACACCUUAGCUUCCAGAGCUCUGAUGGAGUGCAUUUUUGGGUUAGAUCUCCAGUUGGAAACAAAACGCGUAGCUUUCAAAAGCCUUGGAUUGAAGCUUACAAAGUGACAAUGAAAGGAAAACUGGGAGACUGCCAAAUAGAUCUGAGUUCUCAAUCAAAUUUAUCAUUGGUUCACACUGUGCAGGGCUGUCCCCAUGACUCCAAUUACAUUACAGGUAAUGAGCAGGAGAACGUACUCUUCGGUGGCAUCAAGGAUGAUGCACUGGAUGGAGGGGCCGGCCAUGACACCUUGCUGGGGGGUCAGGGCAAUGACAUCCUGAUUGGGAACAUAGGAGAUGACACUCUUUAUGGAGAGGAAGGGAGUGACACCAUGAUGGGCGGCUCAGGCUCUGACACCUUUGUUCCCGGACCAGGGGCUGAUCUAGUGGACGGGGGCCCAGGGAGAGACACUGUGCUGUACCAGGGGGAUCAUGAGAGGGGUGAGGGCGUUUACGUCAACCUGCUGAGCGGAGAAUGCCGUCAGGCAGAUGCCGAGGGAGAUGUGUUGAAGGAUGUUGAGAAUGUGAUUGGCACUAUCUACUCAGAUAUCUUGGUGUCUGGCUACGAACCUGCCCUACUAAAAGGCUCUGACGGCAACGACAUUCUAGUGUCCCUUGUGGGAGGAGAUUACUUGAUUGGAGGAGAAGGAAGUGACAUUUACAUGAUGGUUUCCCACCAUGGCUCAGUGAUCAUAGACAACUGUGCUACAGAUAAUGCCACGGACAUUGUGUACCUGCGCUCUCUGUCUGAGAAGUCUGUUGACUGUUCAUAUCUACUUGACGGAGUGUUUCUGACAUUUUAUGGACUCGGCGACACUACUGUUGACAUAGAGCUGCGAAACUGGGUCAACUUCAGUCAUGAGUGUGGCCAUCUUAUGCUGGUCCUCAAUGAGGGUGAAAUAUCUGUAGAUGAACUCAUGCAGGAGUGUGAGUUGAGAUAUAACAUGCAAAGAGUCGUGGCAACUGUUACAUUAAUCCUUCUACUUGCCGUUUUACAUGGCAUUAUUUUGGUAAUACCUGUAAUCCAUAGAAAGAGGAAGAGGGGACAAGGAGGGAAAGACAGCAGUGAUAGAGCUACUGAAAUGGGGAAAGACACAAUAGAAGUGCGAGAAGAGGACGCACCUCUCCAGGGCUUAACUUCUCAACCUAAAGUAGAGGAAGAAGAGGAAGAGAAGGAAACUGAAUGA
ensembl:lncRNA